rnacentral:rRNA from 1 species
AGUUUGAUCCUGGCUCAGAUUGAACGCUGGCGGCAGGCCUAACACAUGCAAGUCGGGCGGUAGAGAGAAGCUUGCUUCUCUUGAGAGCGGCGGGACGGGUGAGUAAUGCCUAGGAAUCUGCCUGGUAGUGGGGGAUAACGCUCGGAAACGGACGCUAAUACCGCAUACGUCCUACGGGAGAAAGCAGGGGACCUUCGGGCCUUGCGCUAUCAGAUGAGCCUAGGUCGGAUUAGCUAGUUGGUGAGGUAAUGGCUCACCAAGGCGACGAUCCGUAACUGGUCUGAGAGGAUGAUCAGUCACACUGGAACUGAGACACGGUCCAGACUCCUACGGGAGGCAGCAGUGGGAAUAUUGGACAAUGGGCGAAAGCCUGAUCCAGCCAUGCCGCGUGUGUGAAGAAGGUCUUCGGAUUGUAAAGCACUUUAAGUUGGGAGGAAGGGCAGUAAAUUAAUACUUUGCUGUUUUGACGUUACCGACAGAAUAAGCACCGGCUAACUCUGUGCCAGCAGCCG